GCACUGAAAUAUUGAACGACAUAUUAUAUAUAAUAAUAUUCUUAUUAUAAUGCAUAAAUGUAAAACAAAUAUAAUAUUAUUUAUACUAAUCAAUCCAAUUUUACUAAGUUUGAUACUUAUUUAUUUAUAAUCGAUGACAAUCCGUAAAGGAUACAUUAAUAUACUGUUUAGUGUUUAAUAAAUAGUAUUAAUUUUAAACGCUUAUCAAUGUUCCCUAGUAAAGGGCCUAGUGUAUAGGCUAAGUACAGGGGAAAGGGGAAAAGCUAUCACCGCAUCAACUUAACGCGCUAUGCGUAUGAGCUAGAGCUAGACGUAUAGAUGUAGUAUAUAAGUAGGUGUAAAAUGGGAGUUCUGGAACCUGAACUGAGCCCCUGAGCCGCUGAGCCUUGCUGAGCCGCCGCCGCCGACAACGUGGUUAUCAUGUUAUCAUAUUACAUACACCAUAUUAUUGUACACGCGCCAUAUUAUUGUACAUGCACAUGCGCAGAAGAACUAUUUUAUAAUAUUAUUGUACACACAAACUAUAUUACCGUGCACACAUAUUCAACAGUUAUCAUACGAAAUAAGUAUUAUUGUACACUUUAUUUCUAACAGCUAGUUUAAAUAAAAAAGAUGAUAAACUCAUUUUUCUUAACACUACAGUACGCUUCACGAAAACGUACGGAUGACCGCAACACGCCAUUUGUCGAUUUUUCUAAAAACCAAGGCCACUGGGCCUCAGUAAUAGUCAGUAUUUGAUCUCUAUCACAAGUGCGUGCCACUGGUUUGACAGGUACUAUACAUUUUGGAACAGUUAUAUAGGUUAGGUCAUCCGCACGUUUUGUCGUUUUCGUGAAGCGUACUAUACUCCUCGUGGCUCGUAUAGGCCUAUCCGAUGAAGCGAAUAUUUACAUAAACCACAAAAUCAUUGGUUUUAUGUUUUAUAGUUUUAUACUUUUAUCAUAAAACAUUAAAACGUCGCCGCACACGGGACACGGCAAGAACCGAAGAGGUAUUCGAUAUAACCAAAUACUCGAGCUUCGAUAUCGAAUUUUUCUUACGUGAAAUCUUCGAAGAAGCCUAUCGGCUAUCAAUUACAUUGCGACGAUGGGCAUACCAAAUGGAAACUCCAUCUACUUGAUAAUAGUAAAAAAUUAGAAGAUAAGAAAAAAUUAGAAUUAGUAAAACGAAAAAAAUUGUUGUUUAAUUUGAAAAAUAACUUUCCAUGAAAAAAAAUGAUGAAGAGGAGUCAUGGUGAAAAACGUAUAGUACAAUCUUUAGAUAAAAACAAUGGUCGAAGGGCGUGACAGAAGGCCUGAGCUGAGCUAUAAAUUGGCACUUGAAAUCGAAAAGUCAAUGGAAAAAGAAAACUACAAAUAGGAUCUAUUUUAAGUGUAAUUAUAAAAUUAAAAUUUUAGUGAAACAGUAACUUUGUAAUUGAAAACUACAUAAGAAAUCUCAUCGGUUGUUCAGUCAUCGUCAUAGUAUUCGAUUUAUUCUCAUUAUUUUUAGACUUCAAUAGGUCUCUGGUAUAAACUUACUUGGAAAUUUAAAGAGUUGUGUUUAGUUUAUAAACCACAAAUUUCCAUAAAAAGUACUUAAUAUAUAAUAUAGAAAACAUAAUUUGUACGUUUGCACUGAGUAUAUUUAAUAACUGUAUAAAAAUUAAAUUUAUAUUAGAAUAAUAACAAUAAUUGCAUACUAUUUAAGUAUCAAACAAACA